GCAGGUAUAGAUCAACACAUUAACACACAAACCAAGCUUUACAUGUAUAGAUCAACUGAUAUUCACUUGUGAUCUCAGCACUGAAGGUAUAUAUCAAAUAAACAGAAUCAGACAUACAAAUCCUGUAUUCGCAGGUAUAGAUCAAAUAAAUACAUGGAAACAGCAUUGCAGGUAUUAAUCAGCUGAAUAAGACAUACAAACACUGUAGUUGCAGGUAUACAUAAAUAAUGUAUGGAAAUAUAAAGAUAUGGCUCUACAGAAUAACGCAAAAACCCAGCUUUGCAGGUAUAGAUCAACUGGAAUUCAUAUAAAAACACGUCAUUAAAA